CUAGCCUGGUCAGAAAGCGACAGUCUGCUUCUUCAGAGCUGGUAAUUCAGCUAAUAUUUGCUUUUCCUCCUCCGGUGUUUUUCAUGUCACUGCAAACCGAGGAUACUUGACGAAACAAGACACCGGAGGCUCCGACAAACUGCAGAGCCAAAGUAAAAAGCCAACGAGAAAACUAAAAUGGACGCAGCACUUUACCUGCCACAAACCGGAUUUAAACAUAAGACUUUUAUCUGAAUGCAGUUUACCAGCAGGGGGCAGCAGCGCUCGAUGCUCAGCGAUCCAGGGUUUCACCCGGUAAAAAAACUUCCUCUCCGACCUGCCAGGUGCGGUAACAACUGGACACAGCUGGGAUUUGGAUUCAACUUUUUUUUUCAUCCAGUUCAGGUUUCGGAUGGUGUUUGGCACCAAAUGUCGUAUUUUUUCUUGUACUAUGAAAUAGAGAAGAAAUGGAACCACUCCCGAGACAGAGUCCACUCACUGGCUUUGUCCAGGGCUCUCAGCCGUCGACGGACCAACGCCGGUCAGGGAACGUUGUGCUGAGAUGUCUUCCGUCACGCCGCUGUUUCCGGAGUCGGGAAUGAACCUCGAUGCUCGGUUCUCUUUGUUCCGCAUCUCCUCAAGGGAAAAAAAAAUUCAGGCACGAGUGUUUUCCAAACGAUUCGGGAGCCUUGCCCCCAGAACACAUCGUUUGUCCAGACACCGUGCUUCCCGAAGCCCCAUGGUGGAGAGGGCGAGACCCGUAGUGACCCGAACGGUCCCGGUAACGAGGACAAUAGGGCACUUGACUGUAAUAAAACUUUUCUCUGAGCGGUGUUGCAGGGUUUCGGGGCGGGUCGCCGACCAGUCCUUAGGAUUUAGGAUGAGAACCCCCCCUCCCCCGGUAACGGCAGUCUUCCGAUUCUCGCUACCUGACUACAGGUUCAGGAACCUAAAGCAAAUUUUGACGGUGAAUUCGACCUGAGUCAGGUCCAUGGCCCCUCACGUGGUCCUUUCCAGUCCAACAGGACCUCGCGCUCUGAUCCGAUGAACACAUGGCUGCAGCAGCGUUGUAAUGCCGAUGUAAUCUCCCUACGAUACCAGAGAAGACCUUGGUCACUCCCGAAGGAAAAAAUAAAGCAGGCACAGUAAACACCUCGGUAAAAGUUCAGAUCGGUCCGGUCUGACAGGCAUCGACCAGGAAAUCCACACUGAAGAUUAACGUGGGCCAUUAGUGGUAUGAAGGUUUAUUCAGCACCGCGCCUCAUCUGCGGGGUGGGAGGACGGCGGGCGGAGAGAGAACUGGAGGCCGAGGCCACGUCGUUUUCUUUCUGACAGCUGUCCCUACACGGAACCCUGCUUAGAUUCAUCAUGAACGGCUCUGGGGGGUCGAGCAGAAGAAUAUAAAACUUUGAGACUCGCUCGGUCUUUCCCAACACUUCCCCGGCGGCCUGAAUCGUCCGCGUUCCUGUCGGCGGCCUCAUCACGGGGCUGGUGGCAGUUCUGGUUUAAACACCUAAAACCUCUGGGCUCAGUGCGGGUCGGGGGCCAGCUGCGCCAGCUGUUCGUCGGUACACCGCGAGACCGGCUGAAUCCCCUCCAACUGGUUCGUGCGCAGAGAUUAGUUGUCGCUACACUGACCGAACAGCCGGACAACAGCCCGCUCGUUUCUACACCGCGUAGAUUAUCAGAGGUAAAACUGCCUGGGGGGGUGUUGAAAUAACAAAGACCUUAAACUGAAAGAUUUUAAAUCCUGUUUCUUGAAGUAAGCGCAACCUCAAAUUAAUGUUAAAUGACCAAAUGAUGUCCUGUAAUAUUUCCCUUGGCCCUGACCUUGAUGACCUCUAGUUCU